UUUUUUUUAAUGAGAAAUGUAGACAAUUAAAAAAUAAAAAUUAAUUGAAAAAGUUAUUUCACAGUUUAUUUAACAAACAAUAUUCAGUAACUUAAAUCUAUAAUCCAAUGGUUACACUAAACAGAUUAACAAUUUUUGAUUUAAGUCAUAAUCUAUAAUCUGUUAGCUUAUAAUCUAUAAGCUAUUUUAAUAGUUACACUAAAUGGGGCUAUUUUUUUGUGGUGUUUGGUUGGGACAUUAUUUUUCUUAAGUUAUGAUUUAGUAAUGAUAUUUAUGGUAAUUAAUAUAAAAAUGUACAUAUGGUAAGGCUCUGUAUUCUAGAAUGAUCCCUUUGUAAGUACACUAAUAUUGUAGAUGGUUCAAAUGUCAAAGAUUGUUGGUUUGGAUAUUGUGUAAUUGUGAACAAUGUAAUUUGAGAGAGGUUCAGUUGUACUGUGAUGGUGUGCGUGGUCUGGUUUAUAUUUUUGUUUUUAGUUUAUAUUUCUGUUUUUGGUUAGGGUUAGGGUUGGAAUGUGUGGUGGUUUGGAGGGUUGGUCCUUUAUGGGUAAUUGUAAUUUAGUCAAAAUGUCAAUUGUAAACUAGUAUAAAGCUCAAGGGUUGGUGGUGGCUGCAUGUUGUGACUUUAAAUCUCAGAUGUGGGUUCAUGGAUUUUGUUUUACUCUUGCAGCAGAGUAAAGAUUCUUGAUUCCUCUGUUCGGCGGCUGGAGAGGAUGAAUUUUAGCGGCCUGAUCAUUUGUAGGAAUAAAUUCAGGCAUUGCAAAAAAGAAAUUUUUUUGGUCAUGUUGGUGCAGAGGAGACCCAUACUUUCUUUUGUGGUGAAUUCAAUUUUUUUUGGCUAUUUCUUAUUUCUUCAUGUGUAGAUUUUGUGGUGUUAACUUCCUUAUUUUUUUGGCAGAUGCUGGAGUUCUUUAUACUAGUAUUUCUUGAGGGUAUGUGUGAACUCUCUUCUCGAAAAUUGUCACAUUGAUUGUAUAGAAUAGAUUGUUUGUAGUUUCCUUUUUACGCUAAACUAGCUGGGCAGUUAAUAUUUAGGGGUUGUUUGGGAUAAUCUAAAUAAGUGUAUUUUUUGUUUUUUUACGAAAAGAUGUGCAGAAAAGUAGAGAGAUGAUGUGAUGGAAAAAAGAUAAAAAGAUAAAAAGGUGGUGCGGCCACAAAUGCAUUGUAGGAAGUGUGCAGUUCAGCAUUGUGUAUUUGCUUGUGGUUGCCAUUUGUUGUAUUUACGUCAUGUGUUGUGCUGAUCCCCAGGAGGCUUGAGUUGGAAGUGUUAAUGGGUCAUUUCACGUGUGAGAUAGAUUUCUAGAGUUCGCUUCUGACACGCCAUGUUUGCUAAAAUGUUGCAAUGCCACAAUAAGGUAUUUCUUUACUCAAUAAGAAUUAGGAAUCUGUCUCGUAUUUGUAACUUGUUUUGGAUAAAAAUUUGCGUAGGUAAUACUAAAAAUUUUUAGGUUUUACUUGAUUGGUUUUUUUUUUUUUUGUUUCUUUGGUAACUUUUGGUGGAAUUUUUUAAAUAUGAUUGGAGAUUAAAGUUAUAUUUUAAAUUUGUGAGUUUUAAAAUUAUGAUUUGAGUGUGAAAAAUUGUGUGUGGUUAUGAUUUUUGAAAAGAGCUUUGAGUUGAGUUUUCGAGAGUUUUGAGUUUUAAAAUUAGAGAAGUUAUUUGAUUCAAAAAUUUAUAAUUCAUAAUAGAACAUAUAAUUUAAAAUUAUAUUCGAAACUCGUAUAAAAAUUUAAAAUUUUGAAAAAUAUUUUUUAUUUACAAUAUAGAAAUAGCUCGUGUCAAAAAAAAAAAUCAAAUAUUGUUUUGGUCAAUCGGCCGAACGUCUGGGAAGAUGACUAGGUUAAUUAAAUUUUUUCGUUUGGAAAGGAGUUUUUAAGAAUGGGUGUGAAAUUAUAAUUUGAAAACUCAAAACAAACACAAAACUCGUGAAAGUGAGUGGAAAUGUAUUUGGCAAACAUAAUAAUGUGUUUGGCAAACAUAACUAGAUACAGGCUUUAUUUCUACAUAUUUUUCUACAAAUAAUAGAUCUAAACAAACUUAAAUUCUAUAAAUUUUUCUACAAAAAAUGGAUCUAAACAAACUUAAAUGCUGUCUGAGAGCAUCUCUAACGAUGCAUCAAAAUUUUUAUCAGGUUUUAGUAAAAGCAUUUUUUGACAUCACGGAGAGUUUUGGCUUUUCAUCAAAUCACUUGAUGAUUGGGCAAAUGACCUGUCAGUGAAAUUUUUACAAAAUUUUGUUUUGAGGUGGUUGUAGGGGACAUUCGACGGUAAAAAUAUAACGGUAAUGAACAGUGAUUUGAUGGAAGGCAUAAAGUAUCUUUAAUUUGGUGAAAUAUUUUUGAUUUUUUCAAUUUGAUAUAUGUUUUAUGAAAUAAUUGGAGUAGAAAAAAUGAUUAUUUUUUACCAAAUUUAAAUUUGAUGAUGGUUUUUUGUACAUGGUUGAAGAUGGCUUUAUGAAUCAUUUUUUUUGGUGAAAACUAUCUGUUGUGUUAACGAGACUGUUUUGAUGAAAUAUGGUGGAACUCUUAUUAUUUAGCAUCGUUGGCCUCAAGUGAGUUGUGAGAAUUGCUCACUUUUUAGUAAUUUAUUUAUUAAAUCAUUAGAACAUUAUCAUUUUAUUCAGUGAGAACAUUAUUAUUUUGUUUAGUUUUGCAGCUGGUUGUUGAAGCUGUUGUGGUUACUGCAGCAAUUUUAUUUUUUUAGCCUUUUUAAAUUAAAUUUAAAUUUUCUUGUUUGA